rnacentral:rRNA from 1 species
GAUGAACGCUAGCGACAGGCCUAACACAUGCAAGUCGAGGGGCAGCAUAAAGGUAGCAAUACUUUGGUGGCGACCGGCGCACGGGUGAGUAACACGUAUGCAACCUACCUGUAAGUGGGGAAUAACCCGGAGAAAUCCGGACUAAUACCGCAUAAUACUUCGAAUCCGCAUGGAUUUGAAUUUAAACAUUUAUGGCUUACAGAUGGGCAUGCGUAUGAUUAGCUAGUUGGUGAGGUAACGGCUCACCAAGGCAACGAUCAUUAGGGGUUCUGAGAGGAAGGUCCCCCAACUGGUACUGAGACACGGACCAGACUCCUACGGGAGGCAGCAGUGAGGAAUAUUGGUCAAUGGGCGAGAGCCUGAACCAGCCAAGUCGCGUGAAGGAGAAGGUUCUAUGGAUUGUAAACUUCUUUUGUAAGGGAAUAAAAAGUAGUACGUGUACUAUAUUGUAUGUACUUUACGAAUAAGGAUCGGCUAACUCCGUGCCAGCAGCCGCGGUAAACUACUCG